rnacentral:rRNA from 1 species
CCUACGGGAGGCAGCAGUGGGGAAUAUUGGACAAUGGGGGCAACCCUGAUCCAGCAAUACCGCGUGUGUGAAGAAGGCCUGAGGGUUGUAAAGCACUUUCAAUUGUGAAGAAAAGUUAACGGUUAAUAACCGUUGACCUUGACGUUAACUUUAGAAGAAGCACCGGCUAACUCCGUGCCAGCAGCCGCGGUAAUACGGAGGGUGCAAGCGUUAAUCGGAAUUACUGGGCGUAAAGCGUGCGUAGGCGGUUUAUUAAGUCAGAUGUGAAAGCCCCGGGCUUAACCUGGGAACUGCAUUUGAAACUGGUCAACUAGAGUAUGGUAGAGGAAAGUGGAAUUUCUGGUGUAGCGGUGAAAUGCGUAGAUAUCAGAAGGAACAUCAAUGGCGAAGGCAGCUUUCUGGACCAAUACUGACGCUGAGGUACGAAAGCGUGGGUAGCAAACAGGAUUAGAUACCCUGGUAG